UGCAGUCGAACGAACUCUUCGGAGUUAGUGGCAGACGGGUGAGUAACGCGUGGGAACAUACCUUUCGGUACGGAACAACAGUUGGAAACGACUGCUAAUACCGUAUGCGCCCUAUGGGGGAAAGAUUUAUCGCCGAGAGAUUGGCCCGCGUUGGAUUAGCUAGUUGGUGGGGUAAUGGCCUACCAAGGCGACGAUCCAUAGCUGGUCUGAGAGGAUGAUCAGCCACACUGGGACUGAGACACGGCCCAGACUCCUACGGGAGGCAGCAGUGGGGAAUAUUGGACAAUGGGGGCAACCCUGAUCCAGCCAUGCCGCGUGAGUGAUGAAGGCCCUAGGGUUGUAAAGCUCUUUCAGCGAGGAGGAUAAUGACGUUACUCGCAGAAGAAGCCCCGGCUAACUUCGUGCCAGCAGCCGCGGUAAUACGAAGGGGGCUAGCGUUGUUCGGAAUCACUGGGCGUAAAGCGCACGUAGGCGGACUUUUAAGUCAGGGGUGAAAUCCCGGGGCUCAACCCCGGAACUGCCUUUGAUACUGGAAGUCUUGAGACCGAGAGAGGUGAGUGGAACUCCGAGUGUAGAGGUGAAAUUCGUAGAUAUUCGGAAGAACACCAGUGGCGAAGGCGGCUC
rnacentral:rRNA from 1 species